AUUGAACGCUGGCGGCAUGCUUUACACAUGCAAGUCGAACGGUAACAGGCCUUCUGGUGCUGACGAGUGGCGUACGGGUGAGUAAUGCAUCGGAACGUACCCAGUGGUUGGGGGUAACGCAGCGUAAGCUGUGCUAAUACUUCAUGUGAUCUGAGUAUUAAAGCGGGGGACCGCGCAGCAAUGUUUGGCCUCGCGCCUUUGGAGCGGCCUAUGUCGGAUUAGCUAGUUGGUGGGGUAAAGGCCUACCACGGCCACGAUCCGUAGAGGGUCUGAGAGGAAGAACAGACAGACGGGGAGUGAGACACGGCACAGACUCCUGAGGGAGGAAGCAGUGGGGAAUUUUGGACAAUGGGCGAGAGCGUGAUACAGCAAUGCCGCGGGAGGGAAGAAGGAGCUAGGGUGGUAAAGCGAUGAUGGCAGGAGCGAAACGAUGUCCGCUAAUACGGGACGAUAAUGACGGUACCGGGAGAAUAAGCACCGGCUAACUACGUG
rnacentral:rRNA from 1 species